GUAGUCUGCAACCCGACUACAUGAAGCCGGAAUCGCUAGUAAUCGCGGAUCAGAAUGCCGCGGUGAAUACGUUCCCGGGUCUUGUACACACCGCCCGUCACACCAUGGGAGCCGGAAAUGCCCGAAGUCUGUGGCCCAACCUUAACAGGGGGGAGCAGCCGAAGGCAGGUCCGGUGACUGGGGUGAAGUCGUAACAAGGUAGC
rnacentral:rRNA from 1 species